CAGUGGAUUUUGAAGAAGGUACUUCAGGCCUUGAUCUGAGUAAUUACUCCGACUUGAUUAUCAGAUCACCAGAUCAGGAUGGGAAUUUGCUACAUCUGCAAUGAAGCAUCUUUCCAGGGCUCGGAAUGUCAACUUUGAAUGGCACCACUAGUAGUAGGAAAAGAGAAGUUUUUGCAGACGAAUCUUCAAGGGAUUUUAAUCUAACUCAGUGAUUCAGGGAUAUACAAUUACACAGUGAAUUGUAUCAAUGCUAAAUCCAUCCAGAAUCAACUGAACCAAAGACAGAGAACUGUGGAGGUUUAAGGAUAUAAUUAUCGAGUUACUACCGCACCAAAUCAGUUUCGUGCAUUUAUGUCAGAACCUUAGGAUUGAACAGAAGAGUUUGUAACUGCUGAAUUUGAGGAAGCUCAAGUCGACGAAACUUAACACUUUUGAAGAAUGUGAGGACAGAACUUCAAGGAUUAGCAUAACACUGUCUGAGAGGUUUAGUCAUGUCAGAUUCAGAUGGAAUCCAUUGGUUUCAAGUGGAGACUCUUCGGGGUUCAGUUCGACAGGUUGUUUGAAAACUGAGUUGGUCAGUACACACAAUAUUGUUUGGUAUCUUAAGCAAAGAAGGGUUGCUAUAAAUAUUGAAGCCUCGACAAACAAGGAUGAUAGGGCUUGUCUGAAAUUCAAGUGGAUGUUUUGAAAGAAACAUCACAACAAGUUCUUAUGCUAUUUUAGGAAAGGUGUGAGCUGGAUCAGUUGCUGAUGAGAAGGAUGAUUAUGGUUAUCUGGCUAUCCAAGCAUUCUCUGAAGAUGAUUCACUUUGCACAUCUCAGGCAUGAAUUCUUUCUAACUUUGCAAUACUUAUUUCUUUAUAUUCAAAGCAUGUUAUAAAUCUCUGAGUAGAAUUGUUUAACACACAAGCACAAGCAUGAUAGCAUCACAGUAGAUAAUGUUGAACUAGUAUGCUAGAUCACUGUUCUGGUAACUAGGAUUGAUGAUAAUCUUGUGCAUGUGUCUUUAGCAGAUUCUUAACAUGUGUAUGAAUAUUUAGGAUUUGAUUAUUUGCAAUGGUGAGAUUAGAAGCUUUCCUUUGGAA
rnacentral:lncRNA from 1 species